UACAUAUUUAUUUACUAAAAUAUCAUGAUAACGACUUAUUUUGACCGUAAUUUGAAUAACAAUCGAAAAUAUGAUGUAAUGUUUUUACCAAGUUUAUCAGGAAUUGUUCGAAAAAUGUGCAAAGCUUAUUUCUUCUCAAACUUAUUUCAGCCUUUCUUAAAUGAUUCGAAGUUCAAUAGUAGUUGUGUGCGCGAAAGCCGCAAAUAAAUUUGGUUAAUAACUGUGGUGCUUUAUUAUUUAAGACAAACUCGGAACAUAUAUUAGCUGUUUAGUUGCAAAUUCAUUUUCUUCCGCAAUGCACAUUUUUUAUGGGCCACUGUAACCAAAAGGGUUCCCACACUCGGCAGCCAGUGUUUUUCUUACAGCUACAGUACACCCUACUCCAUAAAAAAAAUUCGUCCUGCUGGAAAAGUCUCAUCAAUUUCUUUCCUCAUUAACGCCCCUGGGUGAUGUACAAAUGUUGCAACAUGAUGUAUGGGUCUAGAACUGCUUAUAUUUUGUGAUGUCAGUUUUAUCGAUAUACUUUAAUGUUUCUUGUCGUCUAUAUAGGCAGGGAUAAAACAGAGUCUGGAUUGUCCAGUCUUACUCUACAAAACGUCGGCUUGGAAGUAUUCACUUAAGCGGAAUUAAUUUUGCCAACAAGUGCAUUUUAGGACUUUUAAACCACUCAAACAAACAAAGAGCUGGACAAAUUCUAUACUAUUUCAGGCAGACUCUAAAACUCACUCGAAAGGAAGAAGUGAAUCUAGUUAUUAGGGACUUUAAUGCCAAGGUUGGGAAUGAAAAGGAUGAUAAUGUGGUUGGAGGACAUGGACUGGGAUUGUCACUGCUGCCACCUAGACGCCUGUAGCUAUACAUGGAAAUCUCCAGCUGACAACGAACAAAAUAUAGUAAGGAAUCAGAUCAACUUUAUAAUUGUAAACAUCCGUCCUAAAAACUUAUCCAGGAGCAGCUGUGCCAUCUGAUCACAUCCUAUUGUUGUCUACGCCAAGGCUACAUUUAAAGAAGUGAUCAAGGAGAACAACACAAAUAAACACACACAAACUCAAAAACGUAAAGAUUAAGUUUGCAGUAGCAAAGGAAAUAAAUGACAGAAUAGCUUAA